UGAAUGGGGUUGGGAAAUAUUUGAGGCAUUUGAGAAGUAUACAAAAGUUGAUUCUGGAGGUUACACUUCUUUAGAUGAUGUUACUGUGGUUCCUCCUCGAAGAAGGGACAAGAUGGAAACCUUCUUCUUGGGUGAAACGCUGAAGUAUCUAUAUUUACUGUUUUCAGAUAACAAAACUAUUCCCUUGGAUGAGUUUGUUUUUAACACAGAAGCUCAUCCAUUGCCAAUCAGAAGUAAUGCUAAGAGGGAAUGAUAUUCUGACUGCAGCACUGGCAAUUGUACAAUUCCCAUCUUGUUGUUCCUCUAAAUGGAACCAUGUAAUGAACAUUGUUCAAUUGUUGUAUCUUAAAGCAGUAGGGAUCCUGGCCCAUUAUAUUGACAAAUAGCAUUGGGGAUAACUUCAUUUACUCAUCUACAGUGCACGACCUCAGGCUGCCUCUUAACACACUAAAAUUCCCAAUUACGGGAAAAGGUUUUGGAGUUCUUUAUACAGUACGCGUGGCGUAAUACAUCAUUGCAGUGUUGCAUGUUGAUCUUCUGUUUAUUAUAUCUGUCAGGAUAACCUUAACUAUAUUCUAGACUGUUGGUCGGAUAAGUGGAAGUUUCUUCUCAGUUUCGUAUCAUUGUCAAUAUAUCUCUGGUACGAUAAACAAAUGGUCUCCAUAUUGGAUGACAUUUGAUUUUCUGAUUCUGGUUUCUCCAGAUUUACAGCUUUGGUAGGAUAAUGGCCUCCAAAGUUGCAAUUCUGUAUGGCAGAGGAUGAUAAAUUCAUUAAACAUCAACCUGAGGCUGAGUAGCAGUUUAUUCCAGUAGCACAGCGAUUCCUUUUCUGGAUCUGUGCUUUUUUGAGUUUCAGUUGAAUAUGGAUUUGCUGACAAUAAGUAUAUAGAUUAAGUUAAUGACUUGUAUCUGUAAUUUCAGGUUUGUUCAAAGUCAUACAAGGCUUCCCCGCGAUACGGAAUACUUCUUCUAUGAAAUCAGGUCAGAUUAUUAACGUUGCAAGCUGCUUUGAUGGUGCACUUUGUUUUAUAAUCUUCGUGUGGGUGGAGAGUCUUUUUAUUGAAUUUAUUAAAAAUAAGUCUCAGACCGAUGCUUUAAAUUAGUUGAGCCAUAUAAAAUCAAAAUAUCAAUGUAUGGAUCGAAAUAACUGAUUUUCCCAUUUGGUGUUGGUUUAAAUCUUUUAGUAGUGGUAGAUUUUAUGAAAAAAUUUCUUUGUGCUCAUCCAUUGACCUCCCAGUUUUAUAGUUUGUACAUCGUCAUUUUGGGAUGUGCUUCCAUGCUAUUCUGCUAGAGCUUUUGGUGUCUACUUAUUGAAAUAUGGAUUGUUGCUACAACCUUCUUCCAACAACAUCCUUGCAGUUUUAUGGCGCCUCUAGCAAAUGCUCCUUUAUUGACUUCACAUUCAUCCUAUAUAUGUAUUAAACAUUAUUGCCUUUUGCUUCCACAUCUCCACAAAAUAACAUCUGCUUUUGUGACAUAAAAAUGGAUUUCUCCCUCCGGCUCACUAUCCAGCGGCUGGCUGAAGUAUCAUUUCUGCUGUUUAAACUUUUUCUUCAAGUUCUCCCAUUUCCUUAUAAAACAGAAAUACAGAAUUGAACUUUUUGAAAUAGCGCCCAUCUAUAAUUAUGAAGGUCUAAAAUUUACUGAAGAAAAUAUUCCUGAAAAAUUUUCCUCCCCAUUUGCCUCAGUAUUGGCCAUUGGAGCAAAUUGACUAGGUCUAUGUAUUUGAGGACUUUCAGCGGUUUCGCCAGUAAUUGGUUGUGGUAUGUAGCACAGAACCCCUGGUUCUCCAAACACAAACCCGGAAAUACCUAUUGGAAAAGAACUUGCAUGACUGAUUUUCCGAACAGGGAGCUGACUCGCCUAAGACAGCGUACUGUGCACAGGCUUAGGGCUAAAACUUUGUUCACUUUUGUGAUCCGCAAGCUGAAGACUUAUAAAGUGUAAUGGUAAAUUAGGUCGAUAUGUACGUGUUACAGGCUAUAACAUUAUGUAGAUAUAACAUAUCAAGUACACAAUUAUAUGCAUACCGGAUUUAACAAGUAACAACUCAUGUAGGUCGGCCCAAAAAUGCUGACAAAUUGGUACAUAUUAGUUAUUUUUUUGUGCUUAUAUCUUGGUGGAGAACAUGAUUAAAUGAUGUAAUAUACCUAAGUGAUACUCCUGUUUCUGGGUCCAUGAAGACGCAGAUAAGGCAGACAGUCUAUUAACAUAUGCGGCAGAGAAGUUGAAAUCAGUAUUAAAGUUGAUUAGGCCAACUCCACUUUUUUUGUAAAUAACUGUUACUCACAACUUGCUUUCAGAAAAGGGAACAAAACUGGCGGGAGCGAAUUCGAAUAUAUAUUAUCACCGCAAUAAUUUAAUAACCAGGAAACGAUGUUCCUGAAACAAUUCACAAAGCCAUUCAAGCACAGUAGGAGACUACGAGUUGCCCUCCUGCUGUAUAUGUCAAGAGCAUCUUCAAUGGGGCUCUUAAAUCACUCUUUAAAAUAUUAUUAUAUAAUAUUGGCUUCUACUGAAUUAAGACAUUGAAAAAGAUUUUAUCUCCAAUGCUCCUCUUUAGACUUACUCCUUAUUCAUAUUUUAUUCAUAUAAAUGAGAGUGAAAAAUAAAAAGAAAGAAAUGUUGGUGGUAAAGUUGGAGGGAAGGUAAUAUUAUAUUCAUGAAAAAAUGUUAAGAGCUCCUACAUACUCUUUAAAAUAGAGGAGAGAUGACGAGCUCUUAAUUUUUUAAAGAGCUUCAAAGAGCCCAUUGGAGCUCUAUUUCUUGCAUUACUCUUUAAAUUUGAAGUUAAAAACUCAUUUAGAGAUCCCUUUGGAGAUGCUCUAAGAAACAAAAGUUACUGAUUUGAUAUGGGGUUCAAUUAUCGUUUGUUAAAGUUGACUAUUGGAGUAAUUUCACUAUAGGGAAAUAGAAUCUCAUCUACUUGUAAUAUUUUGAUUGAAAUUCGGUGUAUAUUUGUACAAAAAUGAGUAAACGAGGGAGUGGAAUUAACUUUUGAUAAUGGAGGAACAACGGCGGUGGACCAGUCCCGGUUCUCAAUACACGGAAGAAUGUGCAAGAAAAUUGAGUGUGAACCCCAGUGGUGGGAACACCCUUUGUUCUUUUCUUAAUUUUUUCAAAUCUUUGUGUUUACAUGUUUUAAAUAAUUAAAUAUGUUUUGGGUUAAACCACAAAUAAAGUAUAGUCUGAUCCCUUUAAUCCUGCAAAUGUAGAAAAAGCAAAUGUGUACAGCUAGUAAAAAGACUGGAGGUACACAGUACUUUGCAGACUCAACACCCCUUUCCUUGGAAUCUUUUUUGUACUAUAAAAUCACACUUGCUCUGUCUACUCUUUCUUCAAACUCCCAACACAAAAACACACACACACACACACACACACACACACUUACAAGAGUUUGAAGAUGGCUUGGAGCUCACCAAGAUGGAAAUGGGUGGCAGUUUGUACUUUUGUAAUGGCUCAUACAGUUGCUGCUCAAGUUGAAGAUGGUAUCACUUCUUUCUUUCUCUUUUCUACAAAUUACAACUAUUCUUCUUAUUCUUUUUUAUUAUUAUUUGCAAAAGAUUAGUCUGUGUUUAUGGGAGUUAUAGUUUCAAUUUCUUAUAUUGUCAUGGGUGUGGUUUGAUUUCAUGGGUGUUCAUGUUCUUUCUUUAAAAUGAGAUCUGAGCAAAUACUGAGACUCGUGGAUAUGGAAUAUUUUAAUCACUUUUGAAGUACUCACAUUUAUGUCAAUAGGACAGUCAAUUCUCCUGUAUCAUGAACUACACAAACUCUUCUUUCACUUAAAGUUUCUGACCCCAAAAACAUGAGUUUGGUGCUGGAACCUUUAUUUUAGUGUAAAUUAUUGAAAUUUACGAUGUACCUAUUUCAGCCUCUUUUUUUUUUUUUUUCAGAUGUUGCCUUUGUGUUCAUCUAACUUGCAUGUUCUACUUUCCUACCUAUAUAUCAUUCAUUUGUUCAUCAAUUUAUAUUGGUGUCAGGGUUAUACAUUUUUCUUUGGUUUAGCGAGUGACUAAGCAUGUCCAAACCAGUACUAAAUGCUUGGUAAUUUUUUAAGUCAUUUACCUUUUUCUCGUCAUUUGAUUGCAGCCCUUCAUCUGGCGAAUUCAGUGGCAGUAAUAUCAGACUGGGAUCUAGGGGAGACAGCUACUACGAAUAUCUUAUUAAAGUAUGGCUUCAGCAUAGGGACAGAAACUACACAUAUUUAUAUGACAUGUAUGCAGAAGCAAUAAAAGGUGUCAAACACCUUCUUGUUCAAAAAUCUACUCCAAACGGAUUGGUCUUUGUUGGGGAGUUACCUUCUGGGUAUGGUGCUGAAUUCAGUCCAAAAAUGGACCACUUGGUAUGCAUUUCUAAACUGUUUUUUUGCCUCAAUUUUACUCAACCAAAGUAUGUCUGUAUAGAGGCAUAUUUGUUGGUAUUUGCUAAUAUAAAACAUGAAGCAGAUAUUUCGACCAGAAGUAUUCUGUAUAUUGGAAGGAUUGAGGAAUAUGGAUACGGACAAUACAAUUGAUACAAACAAUUAAAUUCUGCCCCUGGUUAUUUAAUACAUCCCCUUUAAGCUACAUGAACAAUUCGCCUUGUUUAAACUUUUUGAUGUAGUUUUCAGUGCCAAUCAAGGUGCAAAUUAAGUCCUCCGUUUUCUUUUACCUAUAUCUAAAAAAUGAGUAACUAAUCGCUCAAUGGUCAUUUUGAAAAUCUCUUUACUAUGUAACAUAUAUACUUGGUAAGAUAUCUCUAUACAUGUGCACUAUAAGAAAUUUACUUUUGACCUUACAACUUUGUUUUUCUCUGCUAUCUUAAGCUGCUAAGAGGAUUGUUCCAAGAAAAUGACGUUGGGCAUGGUUUCGAUCCAAGUAUAGUUUUAGGUUUAUUAUGCUAUACUUGUAAUUGUCCGCAUCCUUUGAUGCAUUGAUUAGAGAUCGUCUGCAAGUUAUUACAUUAAUUUCUUUGUUUCACCUGAUGCUCAUAAAAUAUGUCUUUGAAUACUAUACACUUUGUGAUUGUAAAAUAACAUCCUUCAUGCUCAUUUGCAUCGCUCUCCCUUGAUACAUGUAUCCACAUAUAACAGUGACAUGUAUCAUUACUUGUGUAAUAUAUAUAUUGAGCUCAGUAUCUGAGGUGUUCGGAAAUUAUUAUUUGUGGUUGGCUUAGUAGUUCCAGUUCUCUCAUUUUAAGCUAUUAUAUUGAUGAUAAACCAUCUACUGAAAGCCUGGCACAACAUCCUGGGUUGGUUUUUCCUAGAAGAUUUUCAGACUUAAAUACUAAUAUUUACAAUUUUUAGGUUUGUUUCCUUCCUGGGACUCUUGCACUUGGUGCUACCAAAGGUAUAACGAAGGAAAAGGCUAUGAGAGAAAAUUUGCUCACUUUCGAAGACAUUGAAAACCUGAAGCUUGCAGAAGAGUUGGCAAAAACAUGCUUUGAGAUGUACUCCGUAACUGCCACUGGUCUUGCUCCAGAAAUAGCCUACUUUAGUGUGAAGGUUAGUUGAACUCUCAUAUCAUCUAGUGUUUUUAAAUGUGCUGGUUCAUAAUUAUUUCUAUCUUAAAUUCAGGGGGACUCUGAAGAAGGUUCUGAUGGUGGAAACAAAAGUUCAAAGUAUCUACAUGACAUAAUUAUCCACCCUGCUGAUCGUCACAAUCUCUUACGUCCUGAAACUGUUGAAUCAUUGUUUGUCUUGUAUCGUAUCACAGAAGAUCAGAAGUAAGAUCCAUUUGUUUGUAAUAUUGGAUUAUAUAUUUUGUUCCAUGCUUUUAUUUCACAUAAUGUUAAUAGUUACAUCUACUGUUUGACGACGCAUGCAGAUAUCGUGAAUGGGGUUGGGAAAUAUUUGAGGCAUUUGAGAAGUAUACAAAAGUUGAUUCUGGAGGUUACACUUCUUUAGAUGAUGUUACUGUGGUUCCUCCUCGAAGAAGGGACAAGAUGGAAACCUUCUUCUUGGGUGAAACGCUGAAGUAUCUAUAUUUACUGUUUUCAGAUAACAAAACUAUUCCCUUGGAUGAGUUUGUUUUUAACACAGAAGCUCAUCCAUUGCCAAUCAGAAGUAAUGCUAAGAGGGAAUGAUAUUCUGACUGCAGC
rnacentral:lncRNA from 1 species